rnacentral:rRNA from 1 species
CCUACGGGAGGCAGCAGUGGGGAAUAUUGGGCAAUGGGCGCAAGCCUUACCCAGCAAUACCGCGUGAGUGAAGAAGGUCUUCGGAUUGUAAAGCUCUUUGAUCAGGGACGAACAGAUGACGGUACCUGAAGAACAAGCCCCGCCUAACUACGUGCCAGCAGACGCGGUAAAACGGUGGGGGCGAGCGGUGUCCGGAAUGAAUGGGCGUAAAGGGUCAGUAGGCGGGAGAAUAAAGUAGAAGUGAAAUACCCAGAGCUUAACUCGGGUGCUGCUUGUAAGACUGGUGAGCUUGAGUGCUGGAGGGGUUAAUGGAAUUCCUAGUGUAGCGGUGGAAUGCGUAGAUAUUAGGAGGAACACCAGAGGCGAAGGCGAUUAACUGGACCGUAACUGACGCUGAGGUACGAAAGUGUGGGUAGCAAACAGGAUUAGAUACCCUAGUAGUC